CGCAUGCUGUGAAGCGUUUAUAAUAAUUGUGCAUUCUGCAAAAAAAUUAAGUCUGCGCAUUUUCGCAGCUCGUCUACGUGUAUGAAUAUUUGCGUACGUGUGCGUGUGUGUGUGUGUGUGUGCGGUCCAGUUUUGUGUAUAACAACAAGAAAAAAGUAGCAGCAGGAAUUUUUUAUGUGUGUCCUUCGAAAGGGCAAACAAUGCUUUUUCCUUUUGUCAGCUGCAAAAUAACGCAAGUUGUGUGAAUAAAUUGAAAUUGAAAGUGUGUGUGUGUUUGUGGAAAAAAGUGCCUGCAAAGGAUUAGGCAUUACUCAUCACUGUUCAUGUGCCCCCCCUGCGUGCCACAUCCUGUCUGUAUUUGGCCGUGUGUCUGUGUGUGUUCGUGCGUGGUGGCUGCUAUUUUUAAUGUGCGCCGGUUUUUGCAACAAGCAGCAACUGCAACAAUAAUAACAACAACUUGUUCCUUUAACCCCUGAAGAGGCAGCAUUUUUUAUAUAAAACAAAAACAACAACAAGAACAACAAUGGAGCGCAAGUUCACACGAGCUUUGAAUAAGCCGGGCAUGGCUGCACAGCUGAGAGAGACAGUUUCUCAGGUGGUGCGUGAGAGCGCCGUUUUGAACAAACCGUUCAUUGUGGAGCCGAUAGACUUUGAAGCCUUCAUAGCCAAAAAUAAAACGGUCAUCCAAAAUGAUCCACAGCGUGAGCUGCUCAUCUAUCCCGCAGAUGAUGUCUCGGAAAUAGUCAUGCCGCGAAAACUGCGCACUAAUGUGAAGUCUGUGGCCGAUCGCUUUGAGCCGCCUAAUGAGGCCAUCGUAUGCCCUUUACACGGCAACUCGGUCCUUGGGAAUGGUCACAGCCACAACGGAAGUCAUAACAAUGUGAGUCGGCAGAACAGUCUACAGUCCAAUGGCAGCUUACACAAUGGCAGCAACAGCACCACAAGUCUGGCCAAUGGUCAUGGUCAGCUCUCACGCAAAAGUUCCCAGAGCUCCAAUGCGUCGAGUCAAAAGUUGUCGGCUUUCAAGUCCCCGACUAGUUCUCAUGAAUCUUACGAGUCAGCGGUUUCAUCUACCACAUUGCGUUCAAAUUUGGCGCAGCCCGAGAUCGAUGAUUUUGCAGAUGAUAUGGUGGCUACAGCCGAUGUAAGCAAUGGGGAUGCGACGCCAGUGCUUGGAUCUCGUGCCGAGUGCACGCGUUUCACGCGGCAGGCCCUCUACACAUAUCGCGCGAAGAAUCAUCUGAUACACUACAAGUACAACGCAUAUGGCGGCACCUGCCAUGAUCUACCCAGCAUAACACCAGCCGAGGAACUGCUGGAAGAAGUGUAUGAGAUCGAUGCCGAUCAGGAUCGCAUAGAUGAGCAAAUGACACGCUCACAAGCCGAUAGUAUAACCAAGCAAGGUUAUUUACUGAAGGGGCCCGACUCCGGCUCAGAUCGCAUGUUUGCCAACAUUGGCAGUAAGUCCUUUAAACGACGCUAUUGCUAUUUGCGUCAGGAAAUCGACGGCACCUACAUUUUGGAGCUGCACAAAGAUCAGAAGCAGGGUGAGGCUAAGGCCACCAUAGUCAUGGAUUUUUGCACAGAGGUCGUACAGAAUCCGAAGCGCUGUCGCUUUUGUUUUGAACUACGCAUGACUGCCGGCCAUAAAUCGUUUACACUAGCUGCUGAGAAUGAGGAGGACUUUAAGGACUGGUUAAGUAAACUAUCCUCAGUGCUGGCACAGAACAAACUGCAGGAGGAAAAGCGUAAUGCAUCGCUGGAGCGUCAACCUUCAGCCACACCACAACAACUGCAACCGCCAGCCACAGAACCGUCUGUGUUUGGUACACUAAAGGGUCUGGAUCAGUCAUUGCAUCCCCAAUUGAUGAAAUAUGGCCGUGAAACGGAUAUUUCGAUCGCGCAGGCGCGACGCGAGAAUCGACGUCAUCUAUUCGCCUGCCUAUCAAACACAAAGACCGCAUCCAGCGACAAUGUGGAUCAGUAUCGGGAACAUUUUGGCACACGUCUUCUGGUCAUUUGUAAGAGUCUGACAUUUCGAUUGCAGUGCCUGCCGCCUGAUGCGGCCGAUGCGGCAGCUGGCGAGCAACUUUGCCAGGUAGAACCCUAUAUCACAAGUUUGGCUCUGUACGAUGCCAAGGCAGGACGCAAGCUGAGCGAGUCUUUCUACUUCAAUAUCAAUGAGGCCAGCGCUGCACAAUUGCUGCCCAAUACACCAGUGCCUGCAUCGGUGGCGGGCUGUGGUGUACCGAGACGUGCGGAGGGCGAUGAGCGUACUCGGAGCUCAGCACAAGCGCCGCACUCUCUCUUCGAUGGCGUCUCUGCGGAACUGUUGCGCUGCCCCAAACAAUACUUCCAGCAACUGCGACAAUGUCUCUUCUCCGUGAACUCACCACAUGCCGACAUCUAUUUAGUGCUUAAGAUUGAGAAGGUCCUGCAAAGCAGUGUGGCGCAGGUCGCCGAACCUUACAUAAAAGCCGCCCGCGAUCCCAAACUAGGACAGAAGGUUUACAAGGCAGCACGCAGUUGUGCCCAGCACAUUGGACAUUAUCGGCAACCAUUUGCUUGGGCCGCUAAGCCGCUCUUUCAACCCUAUUGCCACAAACUGGAUGUGGAUUCGGAUCAGGAAUUCGAAUUCAGCACUAUUUAUCGGCAAGAGGUGCCGAAACUUAAGGAUGAGGAGCUGCUAAAGUUACUCACAGAGUUCCGUAAGCCGGAAAAAUUAAGCAAGCUUACAGUCAUACCAGGCUACAUGAAACUACAGCUGGUACAGGUGGAGAAGGUGGCGAACGCGUUGAGUAAGUCGCUGACACCGCUGCCCAACUUUAAUUCCACUGCGAAAUCGCCAAUUACGGUGGAGAUAGCCGAGUUUCAAAGUCAAUGCGAGCGUGAUGCGCAUCCGUAUACAAACUUUUGCAAUCACAUGUAUGUCUAUCCGCUAAGUCUGCAAUUUGAUAGUCAAAAACUCUUCUCGAGAGCCCGCAACAUUACCGUUGUCGUGGAACUUCGUGAUGGUGACGAUGAGUACAGUAAACCUCUAAAGUGCAUCUAUGGUCGCCCGGGUCAGGACUUGCUAGUCUCACAAAUCGCCUGUCCGGUGCUUCAUCAUAAUGUAACGCCGACAUGGUAUGAGGAAAUAAAGCUUCGUCUACCCCUUGGUCUCUUUCCGGAACACCAUCUACUUUUUUCAUUCUAUCACGUCUCUUGCAAUCUGAGUAAGAAGCGUGAAGCGAAUGCGGCUUUUGAAACACCCAUUGGCUAUGCAUGGCUACCAUUGCUGCAAAAGAAUCGUAUUUGCCUGGACGAGCAGCAGUUACCAGUGGCUGCGAGCCUGCCAGUGGGUUAUCUCUCUAUACAGCCCUUGGGCUGGGGCAAAGGGCAGAAUUGCGGUCCCGACGUCCAGUGGAUUGACAAUCAGCGUCUGCUGUUUAGCGUCGGCCUUCGUUUGGACUCGACGGUGCUUACCGCUGAUCAACACCUCCAUAACUUCUUUGCCCACUGCGAGCGUUUGCUAGAAGGAGGGAAAACUACCGCCCUGCCUGCCGAAUCGGAGACAUGCAAGAUACUCAAGGCUACGCAUGCCAUCGAUAUGAGGUCGCUGAUCAAUUAUCUGCCCACUCUGCUAAAUGAGCUCUUCACGUUGCUGGUGCACACGCAAUCGGAAGAGAUUGGUCUGAAUGUAUUGCGUCUGCUGACGAACAUAAUACACCUGAUUAGUGAGGAGGCUAAGCGCACGGAACUAUUGAAUUCCUACGUUAAGUAUGUCUUCCAUGCACCCUACUACAGUCAGCAAACCGCCCGGACUGUGCAUGGAGAGCUGUGCCGCCAUCUUCCCUACUUGCUCAAUCCGAAUAACACGGACUUCCUUAUCGUCAACAAAUUUAUGAGAUACUCCAGCAUUUUCUUCGAUUUGAUUGUGAAGAGCAUGGCACAGCACUUGCUCUCGACUGGACGAAUACGGAUGUUGCGCAACGAACGUUUUCCCAAAGAGUUUCCGGAACGUGUGGAGAAUCUCAUUAAAGUUCUAUUGCCCUACAUUCUGACACGCUACGAGGAUUUGGGGGAAGAGACGCAACAACUGAACAGCUCCCUGGCUCGUUUUGUGCGUCAGUGUCUUAGCUACAUGGAUCGUGGCUUUGUCUUCAAAAUAAUUCGAUUCUACAUGGAACAGUUUAGCCCCGGAAAUCCACGCGUACUGCAGGAAUACAAGUUUAACUUCAUUCAGGAGAUCUGCCAACAUGAACAUUAUGUGCCACUCAACCUACCCUUUGUGCUAAACCCCAAAAAUCGUCCGCCUGAGAUGAUGCAGCACUUUUCGCUAUCGGAGGAGUUUUGCCGUCAGCAUUUUCUCUCCGGCCUACUACUGCAGGAGCUGAAGAGCAGCCUUAACGAGGUCACCUAUGUGCGUCGUCAUGCGCUCAACAUUUUUAAGAACCUGCUGGCCAAACAUGAGCUCGAUGGCCGCUACCAGCAACGGGGCCAACUUGCACGUAUUGCUUUGCUAUAUGUGCCUUGGCUGGGUAUUGUCAUGGAUAAUUUGCACCGCAUUGAUGAUCAGUCGGAGGCAGGUACACCCAAUGGCCACGUUUAUGCAGAUUCUGCAUCGUACACGAAGCGAUUGUCCUGUGCCAGCAGCUAUGUAUUUAGCAAGGACUCCACCUUCGGCUCAGUCACGUCUACACCGCGGUCGAAAAAUCGCAUGACCCUGCACAUCGACCAUCCUAGUCCAUAUCGCACCUCUCUGCACAUUAAGGAGAACAACUAUCUGGCUGCCAUUGCCGGGCAAGCAAUCAGCAAUGGUGUCUCAAAUUUGUCACUUAACUCCAACUCGGAUUCUGGCCACUCCCAGGACACCACAACCAUAGGUGCUUAUACGAACGGUGAGACAGAUGUUGCUUUGCGAAAUGGACACAACCGGUCUGUGAGCGUUACAAAUGCUCAUAUUCUAGCGCGCUGUGAUAAGUUUAGUGCCACAGAAAGCAAGGAUUUGCUGCUAGGUUUCCUCUUCAUAGUCAAGCAUUUGUCACAGGACCAAAUGGUGGGCUGGUGGCAGAAUUGCAAUGAAACGGAGACGCUUCAGUUUCUGGCCAUACUGGAUCUCUGUCUGCUACAGUUUCGCUAUGUUGGCAAAAAGAAUGUGGUGCUCACACCCGAUGUAGGCAGCACACGCAAAGCACAUACCCUGCCCGCGCGUACCACACUGGACAACGGAAAUGGCGCCCAUGAGCCAACGACUGGUGGAACUGGUACCCUGACUCUUACACAAACACGUGAGAGCCUUUUGGAGGACUCGACACGUACACAAGUGGCUCUCUACGAAUCAAAUCUGGCCACCGAGGUCGGCAUGGUCAUCUUGGAUUGUCUGGGACUCUUUGUCAUGCAAUUCCGUCAACUUCUCGCCGAUAGCUUGGUGUUGCCGAAGCUGGCACGGGUUUAUCUUCGAUUCCUGCAGCUGGGUCAAUCCGAGCGUCUAUCAAAGCACGUCUUUGCCGCGCUGCGGGCGUUCAUAAACAAUUAUUCCACAGCGCUGUUUAAAGGCAAUGCCAUGCUCUGCGGUCAAAUGGUGUACGAGUUGCUGAAAGCCUGCGACAGUCGCCUGGUGGAAAUACGCCACGAGUCCUGUGCCGUGCUAUAUCUGCUCAUGCGCAGCAACUUUGAAUUCAGUGGCCGCAAAGGUCUAACUCGAGUGCAUCUGCAGGUCAUCAUCUCCGUUUCGCAAAUGAUUGGCAAUGUUAUUGGGCUGAAUAAUGCACGCUUCCAGGAGAGUCUCUCCAUUAUUAACAGCUAUGCUAACAGCGAUAAGGUCAUGAAAGGCACGGGCUUCCCAAUGGAGGUCAAGGACCUAACGCGACGUGUGCGCACAGUAUUAAUGGCCACGGCUCAAAUGCAGGCACAUCACAUGGAUCCGGAGCGACUGCUGGAGCUGCAAUACUCACUGGCCAACUCGUAUGCCUCAACUCCAGAGCUGCGUCACACCUGGCUGGUCACAAUGGCACGCAACCAUGAACAGAACGGCAACCUAUCCGAAGCUGCUUGCUGCCACUUGCACAUUGCAGCACUUAUGUGUGAAUACUUGAGGCUCCGAGGCGGCUGCAGUCUAAGUUGGAGCUCCACAGCCUUUGGCAAGAUUUCGCGUAACAUUCCAGUAGAUGAGCAGGGUCUGAAGCUAGAUGCUGGAGCACAGGACUCGCAGUACACGGAGCUAAUGCUUUUAGAGCAACUGAAGCAAUGUGCCGACUUUCUAGAUCGGGCCGAGCGCUUCGAGUGCUUGGGAGACCUGUAUAAGCUAAUCCUGCCUAUCUACGAGCGAGGACGCAACUUCAUUGAACUGGCACAUUCCUAUGAACAUCUCACACAGGCCUAUAAUAAGAUUGUAGAAGUGAAUCGUUCUGGCAAGCGCAUGCUGGGCCGCUUCUAUCGAGUGGUUUUCUAUGGCAUGUCGUACUUUGAAGAGGACCAUGCCAUUGAGUAUGUAUACAAAGAGCCCAAGUUGACUUCACUUAGCGAAAUAUCAGAGCGCUUGGCCAAACAAUAUAAGGAAAAGUUUGGUGCUGAUGUUGUUAAACUUAUCAUGGACUCAUCGCCGGUAAAAGUGGACGAUCUGGAUCCAAAGCUGGCGUAUAUUCAGGUCACCCAUGUGAUACCGUUCUUCACCAAAGAGGAGCUCGACCAGCGUCUGAAUGAGUUCGAGCAGAAUCACGAUGUGGACACGUUUGUGUACGAAACACCAUUCACAAAAUCGGGCGCAGCACGAGGCAGCGUGGAGGAGCAAUGGAAGCGUAAAACAGUGAUCAAAACACAAUAUUCAUUUCCGUACGUGCUCAAACGCAUACCUGUGAAAUCGCGUGAAAUUAUCGAACUGAGUCCAAUCGAGGUGGCCAUUGAUGAGAUGCAAGCUAAGGUGUCGGAGCUGGAGGAAAUCAUACUGCCACCGGCGGAUGUGAAGAAACUGCAGCUAAGAUUACAGGGCAGCGUUGCGGUGACCGUAAAUGCAGGUCCCUUGGCCUAUGCGCAUGCCUUUCUCGAGGCCAAGGUGGUUAACAAUUUCUCUGUGGAUCGUGUGGAGGACUUAAAGGAUGUGUUUCGGGACUUUAUUUGCGUCUGCCACAAGGCUUUGCGCGUAAACGAGCGGAUGAUCAGCGCAGAUCAAAAGGAAUACCAUCUCGCGCUUAAGGAGAACUUUGAGAAGCUCUGCCAGGCGCUCAGUGAGUUACUUGACGACGAAUCGUUCCAGCCGCUCGAUGAUAAUGCUGACAGUGCACAACGCAACAGCAUGGCUUUAUUCAAUGCUAUCAGUGGCACCUCCCAUAACUCAAGUACUGCAUAAGCUUAAAACAAAAACAACACACACACACGCACAGCUACUAAAACAAAUGUUUAAAGCGCGUUCUUUUGCAUUUCCAUAUAACAACGUAAAAUCUAGUUUGGUGUACCUUUUGUUUUUGAAGUUCUCUCGUUCUCGUUGUCGUUGUGGUUAUUGUUUGGCAGGUUUCGGUUUUGCCAUCUAUUAAGGUAUACGCAAAACAACACACACAUACAUACGUACAUACGCAUCCUUGCAUCAUAGGUCCUAGAUAUACAUACAUAUUUAUACAUAAAUAUAUAGAACAUACGUCCACUUCCAUAACUGACACCCGUGCUAAUACAAAUACUACGAUUCGAACGAACAAACAACAACAAAUGCUACAAUUGUUAAUAUUUAUAAUUUAUAAUACGAAAUUAGUUCUAGUUUGCGCGUUUCAUUUUAAUUGUUAUUAGAUUUUUAUGUUAAUACAUUGCUUCUUGACAUUGUGGCUGGCACAAAUAUCGGACAAGAAUUUGAUUUUGUUUAUAGAUGUUUAAGUUUCUUUUCAUUGCAUUUCACACACGAAACACUGAAAUAUACUUACAUAUAUAGUACAUAUGUAUAUUGAAUAUUGAAAGAGCUCCUUUAUUAGAUCAAAUCUGCUAACUUUGUGUCUUCUCGAAAACUGGCUAAUGAAAUUGUUUAAUAAUUUAAUUAUUAUAGUCGUAAUACUUACCUUUAGCCAUAAGUUCCUUUACAACAGAAGUUACCAAAGUAUUCUAUAAUACAAGUAUAUCAAUGUACGAGCCACUCUAACUAAUGCCUACACAUAUAUAUAUAUACAGAUAUACAUAUAAAUAUAUAUUUACAUGCAUUUUCUAGUGAAAUUAAUUAUGAAACAUGAUAAACCCCUAAACAAAUAUAUACGAGCAAUAAAUGUUUUAAAUACAAAAUAUGAAAGAACCCUUUUUGUAAGCACCUGAG